rnacentral:rRNA from 1 species
AACCAGCACCUCAAGUGGUCAGGAUGAUUAUUGGGCCUAAAGCAUCCGUAGCCUGUUCUAUAAGUUUCCGGUUAAAUCCAUACGCUCAACGUAUGGGCUGCCGGAAAUACUGCAGAACUAGGGAGUGGGAGAGGUAGACGGUACUCGAUAGGAAGAGGUAAAAUUCUUUGAUCUAUUGAUGACCACCUGUGGCGAAGGCGUCUAAUCAUAACGGCUCUGACGGUGAGGAACGAAACCCUGGGGCGCAAACGGG